AUGAUGGAAACCUUCGGAGUGAAUUAUCUCUCACUGUGGCUCUACUGGACAUUUAGGCCUGGUUGGAGAACGCCUUCAAGGGUUUGGCUGACACUGCACUCUAUGGCUGGAAUAUUACUGAGGACUUUGGGUUCUACACUAUCAAGAGGUUGAUAAUGCAGAAAGAUUGAGUGACAAGCUGUGAUGUAUCACUUGGGUCUCAAGAAGAGGCAGGUGCUAGAAGAAAAGGCUUUCCUUUUUCCCUGGCUUCUUAGUAUAAUAGAAUCGGGCAAGGCUGGGUGGAGUGGAGAAGUAGGGAGGAUGCCCGUGGCCAAUGCCUUGAAGAGACUUCACUGCUGUGGUUGCAUGUGCGGUCGUGUUGGUACCUCGCUGCAAUCUUCUUCCCCGCCCAGCAUCAGAUGGCACUCUUGCGCCAUCUCCAGGCUGAUGACGCCCCGAGUGGCGACGCUCUAGUCGCCAGUUUAUGGCAGGCAGAGUGGCCGCCUUAGCUGCCGGAGGUUCCGCGCUCUCUACGGCCCUGGGUGAAGCCCCACCUCUGCUGCGCGCAGCCUGCGGUGCGGGUCAUGGCGCGGCUACCGAAGCUGGCAGUCUUUGAUUUGGAUUACACUCUCUGGCCUUUCUGGGUCGACACGCACGUAGACCCUCCGUUCCAUAAGAGCAGUAAUGGAACUGUACGAGAUAGGCGGGGCCAAGACGUCCGACUGUACCCAGAGGUGCCUGAGGUCCUAAAACGACUGCAGAGCCUUGGGGUGCCCGGUGCGGCUGCUUCAAGGACAAGUGAGAUAGAAGGGGCCACCCAGCUACUGGAGCUCUUUGACCUCAUCAGGUACUUUGUUCAUCGGGAAAUCUAUCCGGGCAGCAAGAUCACACACUUUGAGAGGUUGCAGCAGAAGACUGGAAUUCCUUUCUCCCAGAUGAUCUUCUUUGAUGAUGAGAGGCGGAAUAUUGUAGACAUCAGCAAACUGGGUGUUACCUGCAUUCACAUCCAGAAUGGAAUGAAUCUUCAAACUCUAAGUCAAGGGUUAGAGACAUUUGCGAAGGCCCAAACUGGGCCUUGAGGUCCAGCCUUGAGGAGAGCCCAUUUGAGGCCUAAACUGAAAGGAAAUCAAGAAGGCAUUUUCAGGGAAGAAGGAGAAAGGGCCAACCCCUGAAGAAGCAAUACAGAAACUGAAGGAGACAGAGAAGAUACUGAUCAAGAAACAGGAAUUUUUGGAGCAGAAGAUUCAACAGGAGCUACAAACAGCCAAGAAGUAUGGGAC